AUCUCAUACCCCCAUCCCCCACAUCCCACUUCUCUCGCAGAGUCACGGCACACACAUUCAACCUAAACCUAAUUCACCGCCGCCGCCGCCACGGACCUGCCCGUCGAUCUGCUCACGCCGUCGCUGGUUCCCGCGUCGCCGGCCUCCCUUCCAAAGUCGCUGCCCCCAACCAGCGCGCGCCCGUUGGUCCCCGUGCGCCUGGCCUCCCUUCUCUUAUCCAGCAAUCAAGGAGCAACAGCACCGUCCGUCGCGCCGAGUAGCAGCAGCAUCGUCCACCGGCAAGGAGCAGUAGCGUGCAGCGCCUUCCGGCAUAAAGGAUCCUCCGCGCCGACUGCUGCUUAGGUGCCACCGACUGUUCUUCUUCCUCCACGCAGACGCCUCUCCCGGUUGAUUCCCCUUGCGCCGCCUCCAGAUCUCAACAGAUGGAUCUGUCAGUAAGUUGAAAUUCAGUGGAGUUGGUUCGGUAUUCGAAAAUAUGGCAUGUAAAAGAGGAGGAAGAGAACUCCCUGCGUAUUAUGAACAAUCGAGGUCCGCAAAUAUUGCAGAAAACGAGAGGAAUAUGAGAGGUCUUAUAAAUCUGAAAAAGAAUUUAGCAUUGGGAGAAAACAGAAGGCAGAUUGCGGAAGUAGGUAGCUUAUCACAGCCACCCAAGAAAAAAAAGUCAAUGAACUCCACAUGUGAAGAUAGAAAUGGAGGACAUAACCUGCGUUCAGACUACGAAGAUGUUGAAGCUCCCAAUUACGAACCCAUACAGGAUGGCUUGGAGGACAGUCAAGGUGAAAAUAUGAGGAGAACAAGGGGAGGAAGCAAGCUCCCUGCAUAUUACAAACAAUUGAGGCAUGCGAAUAUAGCAGAAAAUAGGAGGAAGCUGGAAGCUCUUAUAGAACUGAAAAGGAAUUUAGCAUUGGUAGAAAAGAUGAGACAUGUUGAGGAAGUAGGAAAUUAGCUAUGGGAGAAAACAAGAGUCAUCAUUGCAGAGUUUAGGGACAAAGUGAAGAAAGUACCAAGUCAACCAGUUGAUCUAAGAUGUUCCAGUGAGGUGGUGAUCGCUCUUGUUCAUAACAUGGUUGACACAUUUUGUUCAUAUGGAAGUUGAUGUCAGCUUGGGAUUGAAGACUUUGUCUCUUCCAUAAUAUAUUGUAGUAGUGUUCAAACAUCUGGUGUGUUAGGAACUUGGCCAUCAUAUUGUGCAACAGACCACUGCCUAAAUGUUGACUUAUGUAUCUCCUUACUGGUUUUAACUUGAGUGAAGAAACUAGAAUCUUCUAUGUAUGUUGAAUAAAUGCAUUGAUUAAUGGUAUCUUGUGAUGAGUAUAAGAAUGCAAUUGUUUGUAUA